GGCCUUGUAUUCAUUUUGUGAUUAUAGAAUGCAAUUCUAUAGGGGUGAGUUAAGAACUUAUCAAGGCCU
rnacentral:tRNA from 1 species